rnacentral:rRNA from 1 species
UCUUCGGAGAAGAGCGGCGGACGGGUGAGUAACGCGUGGGUAACCUGCCCUGUACACACGGAUAACAUACCGAAAGGUAUGCUAAUACGAGAUAAUAUACUUUUAUCGCAUGGUAGAAGUAUCAAAGCUCCGGCGGUACAGGAUGGACCCGCGUCUGAUUAGCUAGUUGGUAAGGUAACGGCUUACCAAGGCGACGAUCAGUAGCCGACCUGAGAGGGUGAUCGGCCACAUUGGAACUGAGACACGGUCCAAACUCCUACGGGAGGCAGCAGUGGGGAAUAUUGCACAAUGGGCGAAAGCCUGAUGCAGCAACGCCGCGUGAGCGAUGAAGGCCUUCGGGUCGUAAAGCUCUGUCCUCAAGGAAGAUAAUGACGGUACUUGAGGAGGAAGCCCCAGCUAACUACGUGCCAGCAGCCGCGGUAAUACGUAGGGGGCUAGCGUUAUCCGGAAUUACUGGGCGUAAAGGGUGCGUAGGUGGUUUCUUAAGUCAGAGGUGAAAGGCUACGGCUCAACCGUAGUAAGCCUUUGAAACUGGGAAACUUGAGUGCAGGAGAGGAGAGUGGAAUUCCUAGUGUAGCGGUGAAAUGCGUAGAUAUUAGGAGGAACACCAGUUGCGAAGGCGGCUCUCUGGACUGUAACUGACACUGA